UACGUAGGGUGCAAGCGUUGUCCGGAAUUAUUGGGCGUAAAGAGCUCGUAGGCGGUCUGUCGCGUCUGCUGUGAAAACUCGGGGCUUAACCCCGGGCCUGCAGUGGGUACGGGCAGACUAGAGUGCGGUAGGGGAGACUGGAAUUCCUGGUGUAGCGGUGAAAUGCGCAGGUAUCAGGAGGAACACCGGUGGCGAAGGCGGGUCUCUGGGCCGUAACUGACGCUGAGGAGCGAAAGCGUGGGGAGCGAACAGG
rnacentral:rRNA from 1 species